GAUGAACGCUAGCUACAGGCUUAACACAUGCAAGUCGCAGGGUAACAUGAGGAAAGCUUGCUUUCCUUGAUGACGACUGGCGCACGGGUGAGUAACGCGUAUCCAACCUUCCCAUAACUACGGGAUAACCCGUUGAAAGACGGCCUAAUACCGUAUGAUAUCGUUUGCUGACAUCAAAUAACGAUUAAAGGUUUAGCGGUUAUGGAUGGGGAUGCGUCUGAUUAGCUUGUUGGCGGGGUAACGGCCCACCAAGGCGACGAUCAGUAGGGGUUCUGAGAGGAAGGUCCCCCACAUUGGAACUGAGACACGGUCCAAACUCCUACGGGAGGCAGCAGUGAGGAAUAUUGGUCAAUGGGCGAGAGCCUGAACCAGCCAAGUAGCGUGCAGGAUGACGGCCCUAUGGGUUGUAAACUGCUUUUAUGUGGGGAUAAAGUGCGUGACGUGUCAUGCAUUGCAGGUACCACAUGAAUAAGGGCCGGCUAAUUCCGUGCCAGCAGCCGCGGUAAUACGGAAGGUCCGGGCGUUAUCCGGAUUUAUUGGGUUUAAAGGGAGCGUAGGCUGUCUAUUAAGCGUGUUGUGAAAUAUACCGGCUCAACCGGUGGCUUGCAGCGCGAACUGGUCGACUUGAGUAUGCAGGAAGUAGGCGGAAUUCAUGGUGUAGCGGUGAAAUGCUUAGAUAUCAUGACGAACUCCGAUUGCGCAGGCAGCUUACUGUAGCAUAACUGACGCUGAUGCUCGAAAGUGCGGGUAUCAAACAGG
rnacentral:rRNA from 1 species